UACGUAGGGUGCAAGCGUUAAUCGGAAUUACUGGGCGUAAAGCGUGCGCAGGCGGUUAUGUAAGACAGAUGUGAAAUGCCCGGGCUUAACCUGGGAACUGCAUUUGUGACUGCAUGGCUAGAGUUUGGCAGAGGGGGAUGGAAUUCCGCGUGUAGCAGUGAAAUGCGUAGAUAUGCGGAGGAACACCGAUGGCGAAGGCAAUCCCCUGGACCUGUACUGACGCUCAUGCACGAAAGCGUGGGGAGCAAACAGG
rnacentral:rRNA from 1 species